UGAUCUCUUUCUCCAUAAACCCAGCCAUUGGCAUCACCGAGAAGAUUCAUUCGGAGUUGAAAUUAAAUCGAUUGAUCUCCAGAGGGAGAGAUGCAUCAGGAUGGGGAAUCACAAGGAACAAAGGAAGGUGCAUGUUACGGUUUAGGAAGGUGUUACGAUUUCUGAACAGAUUUCAGUGAAUGUAUGUCCAAUUGUAGGGAACCUGAAGAUUGUCCUCUUCUUAGAUAUGAUUAUCCUGAGUGUCUUCAUCAUGCUAAAGAGGUUCGUUUGAAAUUAAUAUGAAAUUUUAAUGAAAACCCUAGCUUUGAAUUUAGAGGUAACCUGUUGUGUUUUUUUUUUUCUUAUAUAAAUUUACUAAUUAAGCUUGAUGUGAUUAGCUGUUCUGAUGACAUGUUCUAUGUUGAUGGUGAUUUGAGCUGGAAAUAACAUGAAUUUCGGUUAACCUCUUAGAACCUCGGAUUUUAGGAAUCACUCGAUGUAUAUCAGUUGUUUAUCUUAUAAGGGUUCUCAUAAGAUUAGUAAUAUUGUUGCAAUUUAGGGUAUUAGGUUUACGAUUUCUGGACAGAUUUCAGUGAAUGAAACGAGAGCACUCAGAGCAGGUAUUUACCUGCUUCUACUUUUGUCGGUUUUUAUAUUGAACUGCCAAACUAAACUGUUUGAAACAUAUAGGGUGUAUGUUAUAUUGAACUGACACGAUAGUCCAAAACCGAACUUACUAGAGGAGGAAGAGAUGCAUCAGUUAUAGAUUUGAAAAAGGCCCCAAACCUGAGAAUGUGAAUACCCAGAAGGGAAAGAUGUGAAGAAUUAAGGAACUCCUUGAAUGAGACCUACAAUCCAUCAGCUGAUGUGGUACUAGAAACUCCAAGAGCGGCCUAUGAAUAAAAGAAAGAUGAAAGGCAGGUACAAUUAGCCUCUGUACACAAUUAGCCUCUGUACGGCAGCUGCAUCAAGGGUAUUCGUCGAUCUGGAAUUCUGGAUGUUCAGCCAGCGCAUGAUUUCAGUACAAUGUAAAUCAAAAGUGUUUUUCCAGGCUAAAUAUUCUCGAAUGCAACAACAAAGCGAUCUGAUGCAGACUCAAUGUUGAUCUCGGAUUUAAGAACAAAUGAAGAUAGAGGGAGCGGAAGCGGGAGAUAAUAGGGAAACUCUAGCACGAUAAUUAAUUAGAGUUUUUAAUUGUGCUCUUCAAUUUUUUGUCAAAAUAGCUUGAAAGGAGUUUCGUUAUGAUCUAAGCCACAAGAGUAAUAAGGUGAGUACUGCUAUGAAUUAUAGCCAUUAGAAUUUCCAUUGACAAGAGUAGUGAAGGAAUUUGACAUUAUAGCAUAUUAGUUGAGAGCACAAUAAUUGAUUUUAUUUAAUCGAUGUCACUUUCAAAGGGUUGUUGAUAUUGAAAUUCGUAAAGUUAGUAAUCUUGAGUAGACGGGAAAUAACUUCACAUUGAAUUACUCACUUUGUUUUGUUGUUCGAUAAUAAUUU